UACGUAGGCAGCGAGCGUUGUUCGGAGUUACUGGGCGUAAAGAGUGCGUAGGCGGUUUUCUAAGUUUGGUGUGAGAUCUCCCGGCUUAACUGGGAGGGUGCGCCGAAGACUGGAAGGCUUGAGUAUGGGAGAGGUAAGCGGAAUUCCUGGUGUAGCGGUGAAAUGCGUAGAUAUCAGGAGGAACACCUGCGGUGUAGACGGCUUACUGGACCAUAACUGACGCUGAGGCACGAAAGCGUGGGUAGCAAACAGG
rnacentral:rRNA from 1 species